rnacentral:rRNA from 1 species
GAUGAACGCUGGCGGCGUGCCUAAUACAUGCAAGUCGAGCGAACAGACGAGGAGCUUGCUCCUCUGACGUUAGCGGCGGACGGGUGAGUAACACGUGGAUGACCUACCUAUAAGACUGGGAUAACUUCGGGAAACCGGAGCUAAUACCGGAUAAUAUAUUGAACCGCAUGGUUCAAUAGUGAAAGACGGUUUUGCUGUCACUUAUAGAUGGAUCCGCGCCGCAUUAGCUAGUUGGUAAGGUAACGGCUUACCAAGGCAACGAUGCGUAGCCGACCUGAGAGGGUGAUCGGCCACACUGGAACUGAGACACGGUCCAGACUCCUACGGGAGGCAGCAGUAGGGAAUCUUCCGCAAUGGGCGAAAGCUUGACGGAGCAACGCCGCGUGAGUGAUGAAGGUCUUCGGAUCGUAAAACUCUGUUAUUAGGGAAGAACAAAUGUGUAAGUAACUAUGCACGUCUUGACGGUACCUAAUCAGAAAGCCACGGCUAACUACGU